CUCGUGGUGGGCGCGGCGCUGACGCCGUGGGGGUUCGUGGUCCCCGGCGGCUAUCUCGCGGCGAUCGCCGCCGGGUCCGUCCCGGCCGGCAAGG
rnacentral:tRNA from 1 species